rnacentral:sRNA from 1 species
GCCUCCAAUACCGAUAACAACAAAGACAAUGCGGUCGAACAAAAGUCGAAUAAGCAGAUCGAGCGCAAAUUGCAAGAGGA